GUGUGUUGCUGCCAGGCCCGCCGCCGUCGCCCCAGCCUGACACUCAAGCUCCUCGGCCAGUCGCCCUAAACAGCAGCUGGCUCGGCAUGGAGCGGGCGGCGGCGGCGGCGGCGGCACCAGCCUUGGAGCAGGCACUGCUACUGAGCAAUGGCCUCCAGCCUCAGGAAGCAGGCCCUGUCCUAUCUAUGGAUGUCAAGGAAUCAGCUUUGGAAGCCAAGCUUGUAGGGCUGGAGGCCAAAGACCUGGCUACAGAUGGUCAAGACGCAAAGCCAGACACGAUGAAUGUGAUGUCAGAUGGCAAGUCCAUGAACUGGGAUCCCCAAGCUGUUAUGCCGGAUGCCAAGUCUGCAAAGCAGGGUGGCAAAGUGACAGCUGCAGAUGCCAUUGCUACAGAAUCGGAUGUUAAGACUACAGAUUCAGAGGCCAAAGACUCAAGUGCAGCUAACAAGAAUGGUGGGCUAGAGGCCACAGCUACAGAAUGCAGGCAAGGAAGACCGGGGGCCCAGGCGGUGAUGUCGAGAAGCAAGGAUAAGGGCUGGAAUGGCAACCCAACCAUGCAGGAUCCUCAACAUACAGGUCAACAUAGCAAAGUUGCAGUUCUGGAUGCCAGAGCAGCAGCGGCAACCACGGAAGUCACCAAACAAGAAGAGAGUAACAAGGAAGGUGACAGUGACAUAAUUUCUCUUGACUGUGAAAUUCUUGGAUUUGGUCCUGAUAUUGAGUUCCUGGGCCCAGAUGCUGAGACCUAUAUGCAUUUCAUGCGGAGCCACCAUUGUUACGACGCUAUUCCCACCAGCUCCAAACUGGUAGUAUUUGAAACCACCUUGCAGAUUAAGAAAGCCUUCUUGGCAAUGGUGGCCAAUGGGGUGCGAGCCGCCCCUCUCUGGGACAGCAAGCAGCAAUGUUUUGUGGGUAUGCUGACCAUCACUGACUUCAUUAACAUCCUACACCGUUACUACCGAUCCCCUCUGGUUCAGAUAUACGAGAUUGAGGAACAUAAAAUUGAAACAUGGAGAGAGGUGUAUCUGCAAAGCUCUUUCAAACCCUUGGUGUGCAUCUCCCCAAAUGACAGCCUCUUUGAUGCUGUUUAUUCCUUGAUUAAGAACAAGAUCCAUCGGCUGCCUGUUAUUGAGCCCAUCUCCGGGAACGUCCUCCACAUCCUGACACACAAGCGUAUCCUCAAGUUCCUUCAUAUUUUUGGAGCCAUGCUUCCAAAGCCACGCUUUCUGCAGAGAACCAUCUUAGAGCUGGGCAUUGGCACCUUCCGUGACGUCGCCAUGGUACAGGAAUCAGCCCCUGUCUAUACAGCUCUGGAGAUCUUUGUGGACCGCAGGAUCUCUGCAUUGCCUGUCAUUAAUGAAACAGGGAGAGUCGUUGGCCUCUACUCCCGCUUUGAUGUGAUUCAUUUGGCUGCCCAGAAAUCCUACAACAACCUGGACAUUAGUGUGGGGGAAGCGCUGAGGCAGCGCUCAGUCUGUCUGGAGGGGGUACUCACAUGCCACCCAUAUGAGACUCUGGAAGCCAUUAUUGAUCGCAUUGCCAAGGAGCAGGUUCAUCGCCUGGUUCUGGUGGAUGAGAAGAAAGCCCCACGGGGGAUCAUCUCCCUCUCUGACAUUCUCCAGGCCUUGGUGCUCACGCCUGCAGGUAUCGAUGCCCUAAACUCUUAAGCUGCUCGACGUUGCAUCCUUCCUCCAUUUGUACCCUCCAUUUCCUCCGCUUCUCUCCGGCUCAGGCAUUGACCGCCAUUCCCUCUGAUGUGAAAGAGCACUUGCUGCCCCCAGCACCUUGGGUUACUGCCACUGCAUCCAUGACACAUGAAGUGGGGUAGGAAAUCUCCGAGACAGAGAAACGAGAGACAUUUCCUCUUAACAAGCAAUACUAGCGCUCUGACCACUCAUUGCCACCUCCUCCUGCUCCCCAGGCUACAGGAAGAUGAAGAGAGGAAAGUGAGAGAGAAGAAGUGAUGAGGAGAGGAGACCUGGACUUCAGAACUGUAAAUAGACAGACAUUUAAUCCCUCAAAAGCUUUUUACAUGGUUUUUCAAGCAGCCUUGGUCCAGAUGGGGAGAAAGUAGGUCCUAGUUGAACAAUGCAUGUGUUUGCCUCCUCCUGCAGCCCUUGCUGAAUGUAGGUGAAGUCACGUCAAUUGAACUUGCUUCCAGAUCUUCUAAUUUCAGCUAAAGUCCUUUUUUAAAAAAGCAGUUGAUAGCUGUAGCUUUAAGACCUGUGGACAGUCUCUAUGCAUACAAGGGGGAAGGUAGAAGAGGAGCCAUCUGCAAGCUUUGAAACCAGACCCCACUUCUUGACAAGAGGAUUUUCUCAUUAGGCAAUACUGCCUUGGAGAAGUGGUAGAGUCUCCCUUUCAUGCUGCUUCCACUUGAAGACUGAGCACAUAUCAGGCUAAUGCAUUGCUUUCUGAUAUUUCAUUACACUUGAGCCAGCAAGAAGAUGUGAGAAUGUGUAAGGUAGAGAGAAAUUUCUUGAAGUAACUAUAGGCCUGUGUAUGAAACCUUAACAAGCUCCAUCUAGUAGUAGAUUUUCUCCUGUUGACAUUUCAAAAUCUCUUUUUGUCAAAGGGAAAAGAAAAGAAAGGAAAGCGAUGGUGAGAGAAGGGCACAAUUCUUUCCUGUUUUUACUAUGUAAACCACUUUGAGAAUCUUCUUGUUGAAAAACAGUAUAUAAAUAUUUAAGAAUAAUAAAAACACAAGUCAGUCCACAUUCAUGAUUGACCAUCAGCAAUCUUCCCUACUGUGAGCCUGUACAAAUAACCAAAGCAUUGUUCUUAUGUAUCCGGAACAGUAGAAUAAAAGGAUUUGCUCACA